CAGUCAACGCUAUUUUUGGCUUUGAUUAGGUUCACCUCUGUAUUCCUUCCCUCUCUCUAAACUUCUCCAAUAAAAAUCCAUGGAACUCUUCAGCUCCCCCCUCUCUUCUCAUUCUAUCGAUAUCUCUGUAAAUAAUUGAUGCCAGGAUCGGGAAUCAAACAUCGCUUACUCGCUUAUUGUGUCUCUCAACCGGCUAAUCUUUUAUUCAACUGUAGAAAAUGUCUGCUUCCGAUGCUAUUUCUGUCCAGACAGAUGUUACCAAGGCCAACUUUGACGAUCUCCACGCUCUUGCAAAUACGAACUUAUAACUCCCCGGUAGAGUCUAUUUCCUUUUUCAGUUUUAAAUUCACCAAUCCAAUUGAAUCGUAAAAUACUUUUCACACUCUCAGAUGUUGAACAAAUAUGUUUCAUGUAAGGCUAUGACCUCAACUAGGCGGCAGCAACGAAUCGUUUGUCGUCCGUUUUUUCAUUGAGCUUUUGGUCAUGCUGUAUUUGUCUUUGUGGGAUGGCGCAGCCACAAGUUUUUGGGGGAAUUUGUGCUCAGGCUAUACUACUCACUCUGUCAUGGUGGUCAUCACGGUGAAUCCUAAAAUUUUUGGAGGUAUUGGUGGGACAGAAGAGGUCCUCCCACGUGUUGAGAUCUUCACAGUGCCUCUCCAAAGUCCAACGACUAGACCCAUAAGGCUUAUUUUCUAUGUAAGGCUAGGAUCGUCGGUGUCCUCCAGCAAAAUGGUUGGUCGACAUAAGAGGUCGUCUGUCGCUUGCACUGGUUGCAGCAGGAGAUUGGACAAAUCCAAGACUUCACUACAGUGCAAUAGAUGUGUUUCACCAAACGUCACUGGAGUCAUCAGGUUCCAUGUCGAGUAGCCUUUAGAUGAUGGCUACGAAAAUGCUGUAUUUGUGGUGUCUGACACGGAGAUGACCAAACAGACCAAGAAAGAUGCAGCCACAAUGGCUCUUGAGGAGGUUAGCUUCCACCCCAGCACUCCAUUCAUCUUAUAUUUUUAAAAUGGUUAAGGUUGCUCUCAUUGACUCACUAAACUUAAACCUAUUUUAAUUUCACCCCCAACCACUGAACCUUCACCGUCUCUUCAAUCACUGAAGAUGUGGCUCUCAACACACAUUCAGAGGUUGCAAGCAGCAGCAAAGCACCACAGGUGUACGACUAAUCGGAACAACCACCAGCAUCUGGCAACUUCACAUGUGAUGCAUACACGAAAGAAAUGGACGGUGAGGCAGCAAAACCACCAAGCUUUGGAGACGAUGAGAACACCCGCAAGCGCCUGUGAGUAAUAUUUUUCAAGUCCAACAAUGUCAUUCCCACUUAACUUCUGUACCUUAAAUAACUAUUUUCCAUGUUUUUUAUUCUUCCAUCUUUGGUUAUUUUUUUGAAUUAUCUGCAAACUAUCUUCUGUUUAACUGUUACUUGGUUCUAAAAUAAAGUUUUUUUAAUAAAGGGAACGUUGACGGCCA